UACGUAGGGGGCAAGCGUUGUCCGGAUUUAUUGGGCGUAAAGAGCGUGUAGGCGGCCAGGUAGGUCUGCUGUGAAAACUCGAGGCUUAACCUCGAGCUGUCGGCGGAAACCAUCUGGCUAGAGUCCGGAAGAGGAGAAUGGAAUUCCCGGUGUAGCGGUGAAAUGCGCAGAUAUCGUGAGGAAGACCAGUGGCGAAGGCGGGUCUCUGGACAGUUCCUGACGCUGAGGCGCGAAGGCCAGGGGAGCAAACGGG
rnacentral:rRNA from 1 species